rnacentral:lncRNA from 1 species
AGCAACCAAACACAACAACCUUAUAUAAAUAAGGAGAGAGAGUGAAGUAGAAGAAAGAAGAAACUCAAAACUUAUAAAAAAAAAAGCAUAGUAUGAAGGCAAUUAUAAGAGAUUCAAAAUUUUCAACUCACUUGGUUGCAUUUCCCACGAGUUUCUCGGGAACCAAACAGAGGGGAGGAAGAAAAAACAUAAACUUCAGAACAAAGAAAGAAGAAAUGCAUAGAAAAUAGCAGAGGGAGAAAGUUUCGAGAGAGUUAGAGAGGUUACAGUUAUGAAAUGAUUUCAGACCAUGCAAAGGAAGAGAGUGAACUAAAACCCCAAUUUUGAGAAGAUGCUUCCCUCUUUGCCUCACCCUCUGAAAGAUUGAUAAAUACCGGGCUGGAAUGGUCGGUCCGGAUGUGAGCCGGGUUUGAUCUGAUGUGUGCCUCCGGUUUAAGCCAUUUCGUUAUUCUUUUACUUUAUUUUUUUCCACAAAAUUUUAAUUUCAAAGCCAAUAUUAACAUUUUAAUAAAAUAUAGCCUUAAAAAAUAUGAGAAUUAUUUAUUAGAUAUCUUUCAAGAAAAAAAGAAUUGAAGGCCUCAUAGCAAAUAUUUUACUAAAAAAAUUUUUGAAAAAGAAAAAUAAUUAUCUAACCUUAAUAUCUUAAAAGAUAAAGAGACUUCAAGUAUAUGAUAAUUUCGAGACGUGAGUCAAUAAAAAUAGAAAUUAUAAAAAGUGAAUUGAUAAAAAUAGAAAUUAUAUUAUGAAUAAUUUUUGUUUGGUAUAUAUACAUAUAAUGUAUAUGUUCGUGGGUUGUUAAGGAUUUUUAAAAAUAUUAUUAUUUUAUGUAUUUAUUGAAGUUAUUAAUUUAGUAUAUUGGUCCAAGUUGAGACCAGAAUAUUUUAUUAUUCAAGCAAUUUAUAAACAUUCAUUUAUCAAUGUUUUGUUUUAACUUAAUGUAACAUCAAAAUUUUUAGGUUAUGUUUGGUUUUCGGAAAAUAGUUUUUUCAUAUUUAGUUUUACUAUAAAAACUAGUGAAAAAAAAUAAAAUAUAAUUAAAAUUAAUUAGAAUAUUGUACAUUUUAAAAUUAUUUAAUUUUUAUAUAAUGGAAGAAAAUAAAUUAAAUGAGUUUAGAGAAGCAUAUAAAAUAAUUUAUUAACUUGGACUCUAUUUUUUUAUUUUCCUUUACUUUUUCCUUCUUCUCACUUUUUCAUUUUAUUUUAUUUUCAUCACAUUUUCCCUCAAAUUUUUUGAGAACCAAACAUAACUUUAAACUUUUGCAUCAAAUUGACAACUUAUCAAAUUCGCACUAUCCUUUCUCAAACAUGAAAGAGAAUGACAGUGAAAAGUUUCUAAAACUUCCAUUGCCCAAAUAGGUCUUUGUCAUACAUCACUCGAACCCAACACAAUAUUCAGAGCUCCCAAGAAGAGAACAAGUCUCCCUACCAAGUGAUGUUACUAGUUCCAGUACUUGCGCUGUUUGGAUGUCUUGUCCAGCCUUAGAAUCAAUGCCAUUACCCAACAAGAAGAAAACUUAGUUUUCAGCAUGCUUGAAGAAAAUUUAUUCAGCAACUAUAACUUAUCCUCUAGCUUCAGCUUCUUCUAGCUCACCGAGCUUUCAGGUAAGAGAGUAUUUUGUGUAGCAAUCAAAACAGCCCCAGCAUCUUUAUUCUCAGAUUUUCCACCAGUUUGAUCUGAAGCUUAAUCCCAGAUUGGAAGGUAGAGCUUUUCUCUUCUUUCUGCAAUUGAAGGUGCAGAUUCUGCAAGUUCUGGGGAAACAUCUCAGCUUGAGCGAAUUGUAGACGUUCAUUCUGUGCAUGGAUUUGGAGUUGCUCCAAUUCUUCCUACUUCUUGGCAAGCUUGACAGUCUUCAAGGAGUUCUUGAAAAAGAAUCUGAAGUACAUCUAUGAACAAUCACAUAUGCAUUUGGGCAAUCUAUAGGUUCUCCAUCUGCUCUCAUCGCUGAACUACCACAUUCCUUCAGAUAAAUGGACCUGCCACCUCUGGUUUAUUAAAGACUAAAACAAUUUCCGUUGAACAGGUCUUUGCAUAAACCUUCUUUGGGGCAGGAGACUGAUGUGGAGUAUACUUAAGUCGUUUUCAGAUUAGUAUUUGAAUUGACCUUCUGAGGGGUGCCAAGUGCAAUUCACCAAAAUCCCAAACUGGAAUUAGUCCAUCUCCCAUUUCCUUUGAAAUACUCAACAAUUUAGUUUCUUUUUCUAUCAAGUUUGCCUUCAACUUUUCAAUAUCAGCCUACAUUUUCUCUAGUUUCGUCUGUGGUUCAGCUUGUAUUGGACUGGGUCUAGAUUUUGCGUGUUCUACAUGCUCAUAAGUGCUUCCAAACUACACCAUGUCCUGAACAUAUUCUUUCUGAUACCUGACCUUGGCAUCAAGAGCAGAUUUUAAAUGUCUCAUCUUUAAGACCAGAUUACUACUUAUGAAGUNNNNNNNNNNNNNNNNNNNNNNNNNNNNNNNNNNNNNNNNNNNNNNNNNNNNNNNNNNNNNNNNNAAGAUAGACUGGCUCUCUACAUCAGCUCACAUUGAUUUGUUUGGAGUUGCCCAAUUUCUUUGGCAAAUCUUCAUUUUCGUGUCUCGAAUUGUGGUUCAGUUUCCUUACUUCUUCUACCGCUGGACAUUCCAAAACAAAACUUGCAAAAGCUUGAAUGGCUUCUAAACUUUCUGCCAAUUCAGAAUUUUCCAACUGCAGGUUCACAUUAGAGUUCUUUUAACUCCUCUGCUUCAGCAGCCUCAAAGCAUUCCUUUUUAGCAGCUUCACGCUCUUCUGUUGCAAAUCCUCUUUGAUCACUCUCAAUAAUUACCAAUAAUUUUUGCUUGGGUUGAAGAACAAACCUUCUUGGUGUAUACCUUAAAGGAAUCGCAGUUUCAUUAAAUGUUUCACCCAGUCAUUCAAUAGUGAAGACCCUCAGCGCAUCCCCAGCAGCAGCAACCACACCUUCAGCACACUGAUCAGAUGAAAAUGAUGCAGCAAAUUCAAGUGUCUCAUAAGAAAGCGGUGUCAACAGAAAAUGCCCUCAGUGAAUAUAGCCAAGCCGAGGGUGGCUUGACAAGCAUAGCAUUGCACGUUGGCCUCUCACAAUGACAGAGAAUAUCUUUGGGGCUCUUAGUCCUAAGGAUCGGGAAUGAGCAUCAGAGAGCUGACCUGUCGCCAUAUCUACCACCAGUCUGAACAAAACUCCAUUCUGCGAACCAACAUUAAGAAAAAGACUAGCAGGGCGAUCAGCACCAACCUUAUCACCUACUGAUGCCUGAACUUCGAGAGAGAGAUUCUGGAGGAAAAGAAACACUUUGCAUACUCAAAAUCUGCAUACAGUCAUCAGGAUCCAAAGACGAGAUACGAAUAGUGUUGUCACAUUAUCCGACUGCGAGAAAAUGAGAUCUGUCUUCCUUCAGGAACCGGGGCAAUGUUAGAACAAGCCACAUCCCCAGACAUUUCAUGCUUCUCAACCUCCAUCAACUGACCAGUCAUAUCCACCUCGAAAUAUAUAAGCUCUCCUUCACUCAGUGCAAUAACCACUUGAAGCCUAUUGGGACCAACUUUGAUGGUUGUCCUCUUUCCAGGAGUUCUCCACUCGUUAAUGCGCCUGCCUUCUCUUACAUAACGGAAACCACUAGGGUGAACUCGCGGCAAGGAAUCAUCAUCACCUAUCGAAGAAACAGCAAGGGAUGCUGUAGCAUCAAGAAAACCACUAUCGCUUCUUCAACCGUGUCACCAAUUGAAAGCACAAGAGUAGCAUUUGCAAUUGAAACAACACUAUAUGCAUCAGACUCAUCAUCGACAUUCUUGCUAUCGCUUCUAAAUUUAGGAUCCGGAGGAAAGGAGCCCGAAUCAAUGCUAAAUUCAGUCAAAGCUUUCUUCUAGCAAUCUCUAAAAGAGGAGCAGAAGGCGUGCACCAGUAGAACAAAGUAAAUGCUGAGUAAAGCCCCUUGAAGGCCAUGGUACUGUGUAAAUCAAUAGGCAUUCCAAGGCAAAAUUAGGCCAUGGCAGUAGCUUGAGUACAGUUUUAGUCUCUGAUUUCUCCACAGAUGAUCAGCAAGUUUCGGAAUUUUUAAUAUUCUCUAAGCCAGAACAGAUACAUAAAAGAUGAAGGUUGGACGAACUACUCAUUACUGAUAUCAACUGCACCUGAAUUUAUUGAUGGCCAUCAUUUUUUUGUCUUCAGAAUCCAUUUUCAUUGCAGCAGUCCCAUUAAAUUUUUCUGAUGACUCCCACAUUGUCAUCCCCUAUUGAAGCAAUUCUAUCAACAAUUUCAGUAAUUAUGUCAACACCAGUAUUCCUUAAUGAAAAUACAACAAAAACUUUUCCACAACAUUGGCCAAGGGAGCAAAAGUCUCAUUCAUUAUUCAUAAGGAAUGUCAUGCUGAAGCUUCUUCCACUUCCUUAAGCUUUUGAAGCAAAUGGCACUGAGACCAUUGGGAACAUAUGCGAGGGCCUUUGAAGAAGGAAGUAUUCCAGCCACUACUGAAGAUAGAAGGCAUCAGGAAGGCCCCAAUUCAUGCAAAGCAGAAAAACAAGAAAGGCCAUUAAGGCCAAUUUUGGUCAUGACAAUCAUAGCAUGAGAGUUUUAGGAUCCCGUAGAGUCUGCAGAAAUGUAAGUAGUAGACCCAAGCGCCUUUAACAAAACCCACAAUCCUGUACUCUUCUGUAUGCAGUCUCUUUGCCAAAAGCUCUGCACCUCCCAGAUUCUUUAAACAGGAAAACUGCUGCACUGCUGUUGUCCAUGAGCUGCUCAUCAUGGGCACCAUUAGAUUGAACAAUGAAUGCGAAAGCAAGAAGGCGAAUCUUGUUGCACAAUCUGUAAGUUCUGAGAGGAAGGCACGAGCAUAUCUGAUUCUGGUCAGGCGCAAGUUUGUGCUCUUCGCAGUCCUCUUGGGCAUUAAACCAUGUCUUGACCACUGCCUAGCAUGUAGGUUCCCAGUUUACUGUUGCCUUUAGGGAUCACAAGGUCCAUAUUUAUCUCAAGUCUUGGCAAAUCAGUUCUCUUUCUCGUCAACCUACUGGAAUAUCUCAGAGCCAAUCAUCCAGUAACCGAGCUUUAGCCCAUUAACACUCAACCUUACAAAACUAGACAAGCUGCGAUGGGAUUCAUGGAGAUAAGGAAAUAGAACCGCCGGAAGUACACUGAACAUGCUGCGGCUUGCUGCAACGUUACCCCUCAUAUCAAACACCUCUGUCAUCCCCUCAAAACGUGCCCAAAUAUACUAAGACUCGAACAUCGUACAAGAAAGGAAACAUGGAACAUAGGCAGAAAAUAUCAAUCAACAUAGACAGCCCCGUUUUACGUGUCAAUAAUCUAGGGCUGGACAGGGGGACAAUACAGAAUAGGAUUUAAACAUAAACAGAGUAUGAUCAAAUUCAAGUAUGGGGUCACAUAUUUUAGAAGACACCAACGACAUAUAAAAGAAUCAGAAUAAAAAAAGGGCAAACAAGAACACAGAGAGUAACAAGAAGCAUACCUGGACAGUCUUGACUGCAAUCACUCCUUCCCCGCUAUCGUCCACCUCCAAAAUCCGUGAAAACCUUUGUUCCUCUUUCUUCAUUCGAAAACAAUCCCCUUAAAAAAAAAUCCCCUCUGCUCUCCUCUGUUGUUGCUUUAAAAGCCUCUCAUCUUGAAUCUGAAAUUCCCCCCCGGUAGCAAGACAAAAUCUCAACUCUUUCCUUUUUCCAUUGCCUUUGUUCAGAUCUUCCUUUUCAAAACAUGGACUGAAUCUUCAGUUUUUCCAAAACCCACCAAAAUAAUAAUAAUAAUAAUAAAAAACUAGAAAAAAAAAUAUAAAGUAUUAAGUCAAAAUCAAAAUAAAGAUAAAUAAAUAAAUUAAAAAAAAUCAGGAAUCAUAUAAGAAAAGGAAAAGAGAAGAUCAAUCACAUGUAAGUCAUAUAAGUCAUGCAUGCUAUGCAAUAAGGUUAUCUAGGCAAACUAUGCAACCAUGAAGGAAAGUGAGUCAAUGCAUGAACUAAUGGGUCGGGCCUUGUGGUGCCUAAAGUGGGCCUAGGUGGGCCAAAGUAAACCUGAGUGAGCUUAGAAAAGUGCUAUAGUGACCUAGGGUGAACUAAGUGAAAUCUAACUUAAAGUGCACCCAAAGUAAAGUCUAACCUAAACUCGAAGGGUGACUAAGGUCACAAUGAGGAGCCAGAUAAACCCUCAACCAAAGUCUCCAAAGUGGCUUAGAGAAGACAAAUUGCAUAGUAGUAAUUAGUUACAAAUGAACCAUUGUAAAAUACUAAAUGAGCCCUCAAUAGAACAUGUGCUAAGGGGACAAAAUGAAGGAUCUAUACUAAUAGAACAAAAAUUCUAAAAUCUUCAAAUCUCAACUUUUAAACCAACAUAUCAACCAUAGUAUUUUUGUCCAAGCAAUUUCAAACUAAAACAAUAGCUAACAAUAAUUAAAUUCUAAUGUUUAACAAAGUCCCCAAAAAAGAGUUUAAACAAAUAUCCUAAUAAAGCCAAAAUUUUCAUUCUAACCAUCACUUCUCACCCGAACUUAGGGUACCUGAAAAAUUAAUGAGCUCAAAACUCAAUAAGAAACAUUAAUAUAGUUUCAUGGAUCAAAUAUUUUCAUUCAUGCUUCCAAAUAGGAGAUAUAGGGUAUAAUCAUUUUCAUAAAACGUUUGAGUUCAAACAUGCUAAUACAUUUUAAACAGUUCAACCAAACAUUUUCAUAUAUAUCAAAACCAUUUCAUAUCAAAUCCAAAUCAAAUACAUUUCAAUUAUUUUUAUUUUGGUUACCAAAUAAUAAAUGACGCUUAGUUAAGUGAAACUUUACAAAUGGGUGGUUAGCUUCAAAUUUGUUCCUUUUAAGGUGGACAUAAUCAAAAGUAACCUCUAAUCAAAGCCCUCAAGGCUGGGGUUUAAAUCAAUUACAUUUUUUAUCAGGAAAAUGUAAAGGUCAAUUAUUAUAUCCUGUUGACAAGGGCCGAAAAGUCAACUAUUAUACCCCAUUGAUAAGGACCAAACAAAUUAAAGUCAAAUUCUUUGUUUUAUUUAUUCAAACUUACGGAAAACAUAAUACCUCCAUAUAUUCUAUUAUAAACAAAAGAAAUGUUAUAAUAUAUUUUUUAUGCAAAAAUAUAUUUGAUCCAUACAUAAAAGCAAAAAUAACACACACACACACACACACACACACACACACACACACACACACAUAUAUAUAUAUAAUUAUCUCUUCAAAUUGAUAAAUGGUAGUUUUUUUAUUCAUACUUUCAUUCGUUCAUGUACAGAGUAUAUAUAGAGGGUAAUCACCAUUCUAAGAAUGGGAAAGAAUGAUACAAGGAAAUAAUGAUAUAAGGAAAUAACAACUAAUAUCCUAAUAUCUCAACUUUCCUAAUAUCUCAAUAUUCCUAAUAUCUCAACACUAAAUGAUAUAAGGAAAGAAUGAUAUAAGGAAAGCAUUCCUAAUAUCUCAACACUCCCCCUCAAGUUGGUGCAUAGAUGUCACACAUGCCCAACUUGUCUAAAAAUUUUGAGAACACUUGACUUGAGACAACUUUGGUAAGGAUAUCGGCCAAUUGAUCUUCUGAUCGAAUCUUAGGCAAUUCCACAAUCUUAUCAUCCAAAUUUUCCUUAAUGAAAAAUCUAUCCACCUCGACAUGCUUUGUACGAUCAUGUUGUACUGGAUUAUGAGCAAUGUCACAUGCGGCUUUAUUGUCACAAAACAAUUGGAUUGGUUGCCUAGAUAGGUAACCUAAAUCCUGUAAGAGAAGUCUUAACCAUAAUGCCUCACAAAGUUCUAGAGCCAUACCUCUAAAUUUCGCUUCUACACUUGAACGAGCAACGACAUUCUGCUUCUUACUUUUCCAUGUCACAAGAUUACCACCUACAAAGGUAAAGUAACCAGAUGUAGAUCGCCUAUCAUCCACUGCACCGACCCAAUCAGCAUCAGUAUAUACUUCUAUACUCUGAUGAUUAACAUUUUUAGUGAACAAAAUUCCCUUCCCAGGAGCAUUCUUCAAAUACCUCAAAAUACGCAUGACUGCAUUCAUAUGUUGCUCUCCAAGAUUAUGCAUGUAUUGACUCACUACACUCAAUGCAUAAGCAAGAUCUGGUCUUGUAUGAGCUAAGUACAUUAAUCUCCCCACAAGUCUCUUGUAUCUUCCCUUAUCGGUUGAUACUUGAUUAGACUCAACACACAAUUUCAGACCUUCUUCUAUUGGUGUAUUAACAGGUUGACAUCCCGACAUUCCAGUCUCCUGUAAAAGAUCUAAGGCAUACUUUCUUUGAGAUAGAAAAAUUCUUUCACUUGAUCGAGAAACUUUAAUCCCAAGAAAGUAUUUCAGAGGACCUAGAUCUUUCAUUUCGAAUUCUCUAGAUAGAUAAUUUUGUAGAGCUUUUCUUUCUUCAGGAUCAUUUCCUGUAACUACCAUGUCAUCCACAUAUACGAUGAGUGUCGUAAUCUUACCAUGUUGCUUUUUCAGGAACAAAGUGUGAUCUGAAUUACUUUGACGAUAGCCAAAAGCUCUCAUUGACUUUGUGAACCUUCCAAACCAUGCUCUCGGGGAUUGCUUCAACCCAUACAAUGACUUUUUCAAUUUGCACACCUUCUGACAUUGCUUUUCUGGCAUCAUGCAUCCUGGUGGAAGAUCCAUGUAUACUUCUUCAGAUAACUCGUCAUGCAGAAAGACAUUUUUCACAUCGAAUUGUUGUAAUGACCAAUCUAGGUUUGCAGCUAAAGACAGUAAUACUCGAACUGUGUUGAUCUUAGCUACGGUGCAAAUGUCUCUGUGUAGUCAAUUCCAUAAGUUUGAGUGUACCCUUUUGCUACCAGUCUUGCUUUAAAUCGUUCAAUACUACCAUCUGCCUUGUACUUCACAGUAUAGAUCCAACGACACCCAACUGGCUUCUUUCCUGGUGGACAUUCUACGAGUUCCCAUGUUUCAUUCUUCUCCAAUGAUUUCAUCUCUUCAUUCAUGGUUGCUUUCCACCUUGGAUCAACUAAGGCUUCCUGCACACUGUUAGGAAUAACUGCAGUAGAUCAUUGAUUUACAAAUGACUUAUUUGAUUUAAACAAACGAUGGUUAGACACAUAGUUGCUCAUGGGAUAUUUGACUUUGGUAGACAAUUCAGGUUCAUAUGUGGGUUUAGGAAUACCUCUAUUAUGACGAUGUGGUAACCGUUUCAUGAAUGGAUCAGGUUCCAAAUUAAGAACACCCUCAACAGACGACGAUUGGUUUGGUAUUUCAAUGAAGACAUCUUCGGACCCAAAUUGUUGACCACUCAUAUCCAACUCACCCGCUUCCUGAUUCACUAGUUCAAAUUGUCCAGAUUCAUCUUCCUCAGAGAUAUGAUAAUCAUAAUCGAGAGUCUGAAUUUCCUUAUGGUACUCCUCCUGAAGUUCAGACUCAGAUGAAAAAUACAUCGAAUCUUCAUGAAACACCACAUCCAUUGUAAUAUACAUUUGUCAAGUUGGAGGAUGGUAACAUUGAUAUCCAUUUUUGUGCAAUGCAUAUCCAACAAACACACAUUGCAAUGCAUGAGAAGUUAACUUGGUGCGUUGGUGCUUGUGUAGAUGCACAAAUGCCACGCAACCAAAAACACGAGGAGGUAGAUUUGGGACGAUUGGGGCAACUACGGCAUUAGUAAGAGCUUGGAGAGGUGUUUGAAAGUUAAUUGAGCUAGAAGGUACCCGAUUGAUCAAGUAUGCGGCAGAUGUGAUUGCUUCUUCCCAAUAAGAUAUCGGUGUUUUUGCUGCUAUCAAGGAAGCACGAACAACCUCUAACAAGUGCCGAUUUUUUCGUUCAACGACUCCAUUUUGCUGGGGUGUAUUGGAACAAGUAAUCUGAUGAAUGAUGCCAUGUCCUUCCAAAUACUUUUGAAGAUCAGAACUUUGAUAUUCUCCACCAUUAUCACUAUGCAGAACUCGAACCUUUGCAUUGUACUGAGUUUCAAUCAUUUUAUGAAAUUUUUGAAACAACAAGUUCACUUCAUCUUUGGUCUUCAUCAAGCAUAACCAUGUCAUUCUGGUACAAGCAUCAAUAAAAGUAACAAACCAACGUGAGCCACUCAAAGUUGGGACUUUGGAUGGGCCCCAAACAUCAGAAUGUAUAACCAUAAAAGGAAACGAACUUUUAUUCAAAAUUAAUGGAAACGAAGCACGAUGGCUUUUAGCCAAUUCACAAAUAUCACAACGGAAACCAGAAAUAUCACUCUUUGCAAACAAACUAGGAAACCAUUUUUUUAAAUAACCAAAGGAAGCAUAUCCCAGACGUCGAUGCCACAACCAAAUUUCAUACUUUUUCUUCUCCCCCUCAGAUCCAUCUGCCAUCAAGACUUGUUGCAACUUAUUUGAAUCCUUUGACUGCAAGUCCAAGUAAUAGAGUUUUCCCCGCUUAAUACCACAACCAAUCGUUUGUCUUGUUUGGAUGUCUUUAAUCACACAAAAUUCAGGCAAAAAAAUGACAAUACAUGAUAAGGUUGCAGUGAUUUGAGAAACUGACAAAAGAUUGUAAUCUAAAGAUGGAACAACUAAAAUAGAAUCCAAAUUCAAAGUACCAGUAAGAGUUAAGGAUCCUUCCCCAAUGACUGGGGUUGUGUUACUAUUGGCUGUGGAAACAAUUUUUUGUGAGGAAGGUCUAAGGGGUGAAACCUGUCUAGAAUCAAAAGUCAUAUGAUCUGUAGCACCAGAAUCAAUUAUCCAUGCACUAUUAAUAACAGGUGUAAAAGUAUUUAAAAACUUACCACCAUGAUCAAUAGCGACUACCAAUGCAGAGGCUUUCUCAGUAACAUUAGCCUCUGUUUUUAUUUCGGCAACAGUUGCAGUCGAAGUUUUCUUGGAAUCCUUUUUCCGUUGAUCACAAUUAUUAUCAUUAAUAACAAAGUGUUGAUAGCCUAAACAUGAUCUAAAUGUCCAUGGUUCAAACCCUCGGUUCCUCAUUGUUUUCCUGGUCAUACCAAGAGUCGUUACUUUGAAAUUGUGGGAUAUCCAGACUGGUGGGACCAGUCUUAUUGCAGUGAGUGCAUUUGAAGGUUGACUUAUCAAUAUUAGGGCUUGUCUUAGGAUGGUUGAUCGCUGUCGGACUACCAUGGUGACAAAAUAUCCAGGAUUUCAGUUCAAUGGCUCUGAUACCAUCUUCAAAUUGAUAAAUGAUAGUUUUUUCAUUCAUACUUUCAUUCGUUCAUGUACAGAGUAUAUAUAGAGGGUAAUCACCAUUCUAAGAAUGAGAAAUAAUGAUACAAGGAAAUAACAACUAAUAUCCUAAUAUCUCAACUUUCCUAAUAUCUCAAUAUUCCUAAUAUCUCAACACUAAAUGAUAUAAGGAAAUAAUAAUAUAAGGAAAGCAUUCCUAAUAUCUCAACAUUAUCUUCUUUUGCAAAGUUUGUGUUAAUUUCUCUUAGCUCAAAAGAGUCCUCAAAAACCUUGGAGAGAAAUAAUUGUGGAAAAUCUAUUCUUCACUUAACAUAACAUAAUAGAAAUAAAUAUUAUUAUUUAUGUACAAUUUAAUUAAUCUAUUCCGUAUUUAAAUAAAAUUAAUAAAUUCCUAAUUUGAUUCUAAUAACACAUUACUAAUUUAAUUAAAUUGCAAUUUUAUUUCAUUAUAAUUUUUUUUUUACUAAAUCUCUUAUUCUAUUUAUUACUUUAAACCAUUAUUACUAUUAUCUUAUUUAUUAACCUAGACCUAAAUAUUAUUAUUUUAUUAAUUAUCAAAUUCAAUAGCCACCCAAACCAUUACCCACUUGUCUCUGGCACACACAAAACAAAUAAAACAAGGCAAGUUCUUCCGAUUGUCAUCAUCAUCACUAUGAUGAUUCAUUAUUUAUUUAUUUAUUCUUGGUUUUCCAAGGUCAUCCUUCCAUCAAAUGCACACGCCUCUUUUUUAUUCUUUCUUUCUUUCUUAACCCUAACAUGUCUUUUUUUUUUUUUUUACUUCUAGCAAUGUGCACACAAAUACAAUGCCUCAAAACCAUAAAUACAAGUAUCUAUAUAUGACCCCUCCAAAAUCCAGAAAUCAUGUAAUUCUUCUUAUUAUUUAUUUAUUUAUUUUAUUUUCAAUCUAAAGCCUCCACUAAUGACUUAUUUAUUUAUUAUCUAAAUCUAAAAUUUCUUUUCUUCCUCUGGUUUUUUUUUUUCAUUUUAAAUUUAUUUAUUUAUUUUUCUAUUCCAUUGAAAAUUUUGAAAUUUUCCUAUCUUCAUCGAUAAAUCAACCUAUAUUUGAAAAUUUUCAAACAUUUUGAUCUAAAAGUUUAAUAAACAAACCCUAAUUUUGAUUUAGAUUUAAAAAAAAAAUAUCUAAUAUGUUCGAAACUAACUAAUGAAUCUAAAAUAUUAAUCUAGGGGUUAGAAUUUUAUCGGAAAAGUAUGGACUUCAAACCCUAAACCUUCAAACCUUUACCCCUAUGUGCUCCAAUUCUCUGAUUUUGGUUAAUAAGGUUUUUUGAAUAGAGAAGACAAUAACAAAAAUAAAAAAAUCUAAUUCAUACCUAGGACUAUUAAUGGAAAAAAUGACAUUUUUCCCCUAAUGAAUUUAAUUAAUGUUUAAUUUACUAUUUUACCCCUAAAAUUAAUUUGGGGUGUUAUAGUAUCAAUGGAUGAAAAAAAAAAAUCAAAAGGCGUAGGUCAUAAAUUUUAUUUCAAAAUCAUUUAAGAAUUAAUUAAUUAAAACUCAAAUUUUAAGUUUUUUAAUUUUAAAUUCCUCCCUUAUUCAUUAUUGGAUUAAAUUCUUUUAACUAUUUUUCCCUCUUUUAACUUUAUUAUUUUUUUCAUAAUUUUUAUCAUUAGAACAUAAGCUUUCUUGUUUCUCUUAAGAUUUUGUAAAUCAUUUAUGUGAAAUUUUAAAACCAAAUUAGCUAUCAAUAUUUCUUCUACCUUUUUCUCAAUCAAAUGCAUGAUUUAUUGUUGAUACUUAUCUUGGUUCAUCUAUAAGUGAGACCAUAACAAAAUAGACAUGCUUUUUUUUUCCAUUUGGAAGUCCUAAGGAAUCGACAUGUAGCCCAUAACAAGGACUAUCAAAUUAAUCAUUUAUAGUUUACAAUAAAAUAGAAUGCAUAUUAAAGGGGCUCUAGACUCGCAACUGUGAAUAUAUUGUUUGUUCUAGGUCCAACAGGUCCUCAAAAUUUCAAAAUAUGUUUACAAGGUUAAGAGGAGUCCAUACACAUAUAAUAUAUAUGUAAAAUUGCAAGGUUAAACGUUUUUAAAGAAACACUUCAAUUAAAAGCAUUUCCUAUAAAAACACUUUCAAUCGGACAUUAAUUAUCUUUAGUUAAUUAUCAUCAAUUCCUAAAUAUAAAUUUAUUCUCCUUAUCGGGAAUUUAACUAAAAUGCUUUUUUUUAUUAUCAAAUUAAACUAUGCAAGUGUAGGAAGUAGUUUUGUUCAAUAUGCUCAUAUGCUCUUUAGAUCAUGUUCUCCUUGAGUUGCUUGUUUUUUCUUAACAAAAAAAAUACAGUUUGUCACCCAUUUUGAAGGGAGAUAAUAACGAAAAACUCAUAGUUAAAAAAAAAAAAAUGUGAUUUCAACAGUUUUGGGAAUUAUCACUCUCAACAAUCUAUUAAAAAAUUGUAAAGAUUACAUGUUGGAUCUCCCCAGCCCCAAGGACACUUACUGUCACAAGAAUAAAGGUCACAAGAAACCCAUAUCCUAUCUUCCACCCCAAGCCUGCUUCUGCCAGUCAAAGUCCAAUCACAAUAUUCAGAGCUCCCAAGAUGAGAGCAAGUCUCCCUACCAAGUGAUGUUACUAGUUCCAGUACUUGCGCUGUUUGGAUGUCUUGUCCGGCCUUAGAAUCAAUGCCAUUACCUGAGAAGAAGAAAACUUAGUUUCCAGCAUGCUUGAAGAAAUAUAUUUUGUUACUGUCGAGUGAAGGCCCAGGCAGAGUGAAAACAAACCUGAAGAAUGCCAAGGAAAAACACCAAGGAUCCGAGGGGUCUGUGAAUCUUGAAUUUGGGAAUGCGAUAAAACUCCAGUCCAUUGUAGAGUGUCCUUCCUGCGACGACAGUAGCAAGACCCGGAAGAAAACCCACAAUCUGGAUCGAGAUAUGAAGAUAAAACCAUUGAGGAUCAUGAUGCUUGAAGUAUCUAGGGAUGAUUGCCCCAGAUGGAAGGAGCACGUCCCAUGCAAUUAGGCCCAUGUCUCCAUGACGCGUCUCCAAAUCUCCAGAGUUAUUGACACCAGAGUUAUAUCCUGUGAGACACACAACAGAAAUUUUCCAUAUCAGACUUCAAAGAGUUUUAUCUGAAGCUCCCACUUUAUUUCCUAGAUAUAAGCCCCUCGUCUAGAAUGUAAAAUCCUCUGUUCUCUGUUCAAAUUUCAGCUUUGCAAUUGGAGUCAAUACAUCUCGUAUUCAAUUCAAUCCUCAUCUUUUUAUGGCCUCCUAAAUUCUAAGACCUGUCUGGGUUGUCCAGUUUUGUGAAAAAUUACAUCAUGGGAUUUGAUUCAAUGUUAGGUACAAAAUUUUGGAAAAAUCUGCAAAACCCUCAACAGUUGUGACCACAGCUCAAGACCAAGGUGGGAAUUUACAAUCUAAUAAUGCUGAUGAAUGCUUCAUAGACUGCUCUACGAAACUAGCGUUUGUCAGAAUGCCUGUCCUUUGUUGAAAGACAUGAAGAUCCUCACAUUCUCGAGCAGGAAGAACCUUGGCCGAAAGUAGUUGAUUACUACUCAAAAAGUGCUAUUUGAUAGCCUAUAAUUAAUCAUUUUAAACACUUUUGAGUAGUAGUUUAGGCCUUUUAACUCAAUUGGCAUGUUAAGGAUCCUUUAAAGCAAUUUUAAUCACUUUGUGCAAGUUUUGGUGUUUUUGUUAGUAUUUUGAUCACCAAAGCAAGUCAAGACUGAGGAGAGCUAUGAGGAAUCUUGGGCAAAGCUUAGAAGUCAUUUGCCAAGAGUGAAUCCGGAUUGCAAGGAGUAAAAGCAAAGAGAAUCUGCCAUAAAACAUAUUCUUGAUGACAGUCGUAGCAGCCACUUUUGGAGCACUUUAUUAAGUCCAAAUUAUGCAUGCUAUAUACCAUUUCAAAGCUCAGGAAGUCAACAAUCCAAUGCUUUAAACGGUGUGCAAUUCGGAGUUGAAACGAAGAAGUUGCAGCCAUUGCAAGCCAAUCACUCCGAGCUGAAGGAAGCAUUUUGCAAAGUGUUGCGAAAUCACCCUUUUGUUGCGAAGUGAUUUCGCAGCAUUUUUGUACAGUAAGGUGUAUCUCCUUCUGACGAUGCACGAUUUAUGCCGCGAGAAGGAAGCUAGGAACCUCAAGGUGGAAGCCAACUUUGCAGCCUGGUGAAGAUAGCUUGGUGUUGCGAAAUUAUUUCGCAGUCCUCUUGAGUGUCUGCGAAAUCUCGCAGACACCAUUUUACUCCUGCGAAAUGGUUCCUGAAGCCUCCCGAUAUUUGCUACCGACAUUGGGAGAUAUUUUCCAUUAGAUUUUUGUUGUCUAAAUCCCAAAAUACUCCUUGUAAACCACCAAUUACAAGAUUCCUUAGCUUUUAAGUUAGUAAAAAGACUAAAUAUUUUUGUAACAAUUAGUUUUAUAUUAUGUUGAUAUAUAUACCUCUCGGGAGCCUGUUCUCGGGGAGGAGAUUCUUCUGUAAAAGUUUGGGUAAGCAAGUAAAGUCUAUUUUCUUUCUACUGCCUUACCUUCUCACUUUGUAUUUUCAUUUUAUUUCUAAGUUAUGAAUUCUCUGAGGAGUUUUCCCCAGAGAAUGAGUAACUAAACCUCUAAUUCCUUGGAGCUAAGGUUGCCGGGGAAGGUUCCAAGUGCAAGAAUGCAAAGCUUUGUGGUUUUAGAUUUUAAUGAAGAGGAAGUGAAAUCCUUUAGUGAUUUCUAUGUUUUUAGUUAACUUAAAACACCUUAGAGUCACCUGGGCCAACACUUGGUAAGGCAAGUGAUUUCCAACUAUGGAAAUGCACUAGUUUACCUCUUGCAAGCCUCUGGGAGGUGACUUCAAGGUAGGAUUUUCUGGAAUUACCAACACUUGGUAAGCUUUUGGACUCCUAGGAGACAUCCAUUAGUUAUCUCUUGCGAGUUUGUGAAGGGAAGUCCAAGGUUAAAGAUCAUCUUGAAUGGUAAGUGCUCGUGAGAGGCAUGAACCAUUGCAAGUUGCAUCAGUGAGAGAAUUAAAGUGAAAUCUAAUUGAAGGAAUCUCUGUACAACACCGGUUAGAGAAUUGACUAUAUGUUGAAUCUCUAACGCGAGGAAAUGAACCAUCUGACCAGGGCCGUGUCUUUUGCAUGAGGAACCACCCCAGUGAACCUAAAUCUCCAAGGAAUGCUUUUCUUCCUAAAUUAUUCCAAACUUCUGUUAUGUUAGUUAGUUUAAGUCUAAACCUUUACCAAUCAAAGUUUGUGUUUUACUUCUUAAGCUAACCGUGAAAUGAAACAAGACCAAUUCACUUGGAAUUGGUAUCAUUGAUUGCUUGUUAAUUAUUCCCAGUGAACGAUCCUAGAGCCACUAUACUAUAGUAGCUUUUUAUUUGCUACCCUAGUGUAUGGUGUUAUAGGUAUAAAUUUUGUUGAUCACUCCCUCAUCCAAGGAGCACCAGCUGGACAUGGAUCAGCUGAGACACCAAUUGGGCAUAAAUCAGUAGUCGGCAAAGGAUAAGAAGGCUGGGAUCAUUUCACACUGAACUUUACUCCAGCUACUUUGGUUAACCGGAUUCAUCCCAGAGAAACCCUGUGAAGAUCGCAGCCUUGUUUGAGCUCUUUGAAUAGAGUGAAAUAACAGAGCAGAAGCUGAUCAAACCUGGCAUGGAGGGCCCCCCAUUAAUAAAAUCAACUUCUCCAACCAUCCGGUGAUGCAGAUUGUUUGGCAGCCUCAGAAGCUGAGACACGGUCAUCGGCAUUCCCACACUACUCCACGACAGCCCUGCAUCACAACCAAUUUACGGGUCUAUUACAAAUGAGAGGGAGAAAAAGAGAUUUUCAUGUUAAUGAAAUCAUUCACCUUAGGAUCGAACUGAAACGAUAAACAUCAAUGAUUCCGGAUGAUUGAAUUUGAGUGCAUCCCCAGCAGGCUCUUCAUAUUCAGUAGCCUACUUGGUUACUGAUACACCUGCAAAGUUGAAAGCAACAGGAGGUAAAAUCAUCACAUUCUUUAAUAAAAAUGUCAUCACAUACGACUCUUUAGCUGAUAUAGAUACAAAUGAACUACCUGAUUGAGGGGCCCUUCAAAGGAAAAUAUGUUCCAAAGGUUGCAAGGACAUCACAUGGUGGCAGAUCAUGCUUCUGAAUAACCUGCACAUUCCACCCUUCAAAUAUAUUAGAAAAAUAAUAUAAUUGUAGUUUUAUAUUAUAAUAGAAGUUCAAAAAAAAAAAGAGAAAUUAUGCACGAUUGCUUGCACCCACCUCAUGGAUGUCAUAACAGUAUGCCUUCUUGCUUUUACAUUUUACAGUAAUAAUAGAUCGAUAACAAAUUUACAUGGAGAAGUGAGAACCCUCAGCUAGUUUCAUCCCCAUGACCAUGAUCCAGCAGCUCACCCAACGUAAUCACAGAAAACGGUUUUGACAAUAGUGGCCACUGUUUUGAGAGUGCUCGAGCAACUUGUUGCAUAGUUGGCCGAGAUUGGGGAUUAACACACAAACAUGCAAAUGCCAACUUCACUGCAACCACUACUUCCUCUGCCACUUGAUUCACAGGAGGUGAGGGGCGCUGGUCUAUCACAUCAUUCAGCAGGAAAUGGCCGACCGUUGAUGGUGAUGCAGAUGAGGAGGACGCUGAUGAUAACAGGGAUGAGAUAAGCUCUCCGGGAUGCCUUCCCAUAAUUACUUCUAAUGUCACAACACCGAAGCUAUAAACAUCGGUUUUAUUAUCCACCUUCAUUGUGUAAGCAAGUUCUGCAAAAGAAGAUUAGAUCAUGCUCUGCUCUGCUAAGCAAUUAGAAACGUUACAUAUGACGUAUAGAGGCCAUUUAGAGAUAAGCAAGGCACUAAGAAAAAUGUACCUGGAGCUGUAUAACCAAAAGUUCCUGCAAAUGAAGUCCAAUUAGAUGAGUCUGACUUUAAAAGCCUAGCCGUGCCGAAGUCAGAUACAUGAGCUUCAUAUUCUGAAUCUAACAAAACAUUGUUGCUCGAUAUGUCUUGAUGAAUUACAGGAGGUGAGCAAUCAUGGUGCAUAUAAGAUAAAGCUUUAGCCACGCCUUUAAUAACGUUUAGCCUCACAGUCCAAUCUAAUCUUUCUGCUUCUUCGUCGUUGCAUAGAAUGUUUUGCAAACUCCCCUUUUCCAUAAACUCAUAAACCAAAAAUGAGUUCUUUGCAAAUGAACUGAAGCCAUAAAGCUUGACGAUGUUGUGGUGCCUUAUCUGUGUUAAAGCAUAAAUCUCGCUUUUGAAAGCUUUCAAAUCAGCCAUAUCUCCAUCUUCUGAUGAGUGAAGCUUUUUCACAGCAACAACCCGACCUGUUGGCAACUCAGCCUUGUAAACAGUACCAUAUCCUCCAGUGCCAAUACACUGUUUCGAACUGAAAUUGUCGGUCCCCUGUAUGAUGUGCUCAUACAACAAUUCCCCAUCAUGGCCCCAUAUUGCAAAUAGAUCUUCAACAUCUGCUUCAGGAGACUUGGUUUUUCUCUUCCUCAAUUUUUGGAAAAGAAAAUAAAUGCCAGUAAUAAAAGCAAAUAAGAACAAUAGACUGCUCACAAUAAGGAGUAUUAUGAUCAAAAUAGAAAACUUGCUGGCCUUCUUUUGACUAGCACCGCAUGGCUUGAGAUGAGUGACAUUAUUACCACACAGACCUUUAUUAUUUUUGAAUGCCUCAAAUUGAGCAAAUGCUUUGAUGUUGGGGAGAGGACCUUCCAACUGAUUGUAGGAUAUAUCAGCAACUGUCAGGCUUAUCAAAUCAUAAAACGUGUGUGGGAUGGUGCCAGAGAGAUCGUUAUGGGAGAGAUUCAACGUUUCUAGGUUCUGUAAUUCUCCAAGGUGCGGUGGAACCUCUCCUGUCAACAUAUUUUGACUAAGAUCGAGACUUUCAAGAUGAUGCAUCUUUCCAAUUUCGUCAGGAAUGCUAUCCACAAAUCUAUUCUCGCUCAAGUUCAAGGACCAUAAUUUCCAGAAGUUUCCCAGUUGCUUGGGAACUGGACCGCUUAAGUUGUUUGAUGCCAAGUCAAGGAUUUCAAGAUUGGAUAAGUUUCCUAAUUCCAGAGGAAUACUUCCUGAAAGUUUGUUGUUGCCUAGCAACAAUUUGAACAAUAAGGGAAACAUACCCAAUUCUUUUGGGAUCUUCCCAAUUAGAUGAUUUGAGGAGAGAUCAAGUUGUUGCAGUUGAAUUGCUUUCCCAAGUUGAGGUGGUAUAGCACCAGAAAUUUUAUUGUUGGAGAUGUUCAGGUUUGUGAGCAUGUGGCACUCCCCCCAUUUCUCAGAAAGCUCACCAUAAAAAUUGUUAUUGCUCAGAUCAAUAUAAUUUAGAUUAGGGUAUACACCAAAACUUUCGGCUAUGUCUCCAGUAAGUUGGUUUUUUUCAAGCCUAACUCUGAAUAAGCUAGUGCAAUUUUUCAAGCUCUUUGGAAUAGGACCAGUGAAAUGGUUCAUUUGGGCUGAAACUUUUUCAAGAGCAUUACCAAGGCAUAUCUCUUGUGGUAGGUGGCCAAUGAAGUUAUUCUCAGCAAUUUGCAAAGAUUUCAAAUGAGUGAUAUUAUUCAUUUCUAGAGGAAUGGCACCACUGAGUCUGUUGUAAUGAAGGGCCAAAAAGUUUAAGCCGGACAAGUUUCCAAAGGAUGGAGGGAUCAGACCAGUGAGACUAUUAUUUGCCAACUCAAGAUCAUUAAGUGAUGUCAACAAUCCAAUCUCUUGAGGAAUAGAACCGGAUAGUUUGUUUGUAUGAAGGUACAAAGUGGUUAAGUUCCUCAAGUUACCUAUGGAAUGAGGGAUUGGACCGGUGAGAUUGUUAAUUGACAACGCAAGAUCAUUAAGUGAUGUCAACAAUCCAAUUUCUUGAGGGAUGGAACCAGAAAGCUUGUUCUCAGAAAGAUCUAAAGUGGUUAAAUUUCUCAAGUUUCCAAAGGAUGGAGGGAUCGGACCAGUGAGACUAUUAUUUGCCAACUUAAGAUCAUUAAGUGAUGUCAACAAUCCAAUCUCUUGAGGAAUAGAACCGGAUAGUUUGUUUGUAUGAAGGUACAAAGUGGUUAAGUUCCUUAAGUUACCUAUGGAAGGAGGGAUUGGACCGGUGAGAUUGUUAAUUGACAACGCAAGAUCAUUAAGUGAUGUCAACAAUCCAAUUUCUUGAGGGAUGGAACCAGAAAGCUUGUUCUCAGAAAGAUAUCAAGUGGUUAAAUUUCUCAAGUUUCCAAAGGAUGGAGGGAUCGGACCAGUGAGACUAUUAUUUGCCAACUCAAGAUCAUUAAGUGAUGUCAACAAUCCAAUCUCUUGAGGAAUAGAACCGAAUAGUUUGUUUGUAUGAAGGUACAAAGUGGUUAAGUUCCUCAAGUUACCUAUGGAAUGAGGGAUUGGACCGGUGAGAUUGUUAAUUGACAACACAAGAUCAUUAAGUGAUGUCAACAAUCCAAUUUCUUGAGGGAUGGAACCAGAAAGCUUGUUCUCAGAAAGAUCUAAAGUGGUUAAAUUUCUCAAGUUUCCAAUGGAUGAAGGGAUCGGACCAGUAAGACUAUUAGUUGCCAACUCAAGAUCAUUAAGUGAUGUCAACAAUCCAAUCUCUUGAGGGAUAGAACCAGAAAGCUCAUUCUCAAAAAGAUGUAGAGUGGUUAAGUUUCUCAAGUUUCCUAUGGAUGGAGGGAUUGGACCAGUGAGACUAUUAAUUGCCAAUUGAAGAUCAUUAAGCGAUGUCAACAAUCCAAUUUCUUGAGGAAUAUAACCAGAUAGUUUGUUUUUAUGAAGGUACAAAGUGGUUAAGUUCCUCGAGUUACCUAUGGAAGGAGGAAUUGGGCCUCUGAAAUUAUUAAAACACAAUGCUAGAACACUAAGAGAUGUUAGAAAUCCAAGUUGGGGAGAUAUUACACCAGUAAAACGAUUGAAAGUAAAGUUAAGAUUUGUGAUUAGUUUAGAAAGAUUACCAAUGUUGAUUGGAAUGGUUCCAUAAAGGGAGUUGUUAUAAAGAUUAAGAGUGAGAAGGUUAGGGAGUGAUGAGAAAUUGAGAUUGUGGAGUGUACCUCUCAAACCGCAAUUGUCAAGGUCUAAAUUGGAGACACUUCCUGACCUGUGACAAGUCACUCCAAACCAAUGAUGGCAAGAAUUGCGUCCAGACCAAGAAGAAAGGAAAGAUUGGGUUUGAUUAUCAAGACUGGUCUUCCAUGUUAGAAGAGCAACUGCCUCUUGAUCUUGUUCAACUUUCAAAAGAGAAGUGGUAGGUGUAGAGGCAGAUGUAAAAGUGACAUGGAAUAAUGAUAUCGAGUACAGAAGGAAAAGGAGAAAUAUGAAUAAGCAAGGAGUGAUGAUGAGUCGGGGGAGUAAGGAGUAGGAUGAAAAAUAUUCAAGCACCAUUGUUGAAUUGGUAGAAAUGAAGUUAUUAAGAGGUUUACCUGGAGGGAAGGAUGAAGACGAAACACUUAUUUAUAGACUUAAAUGUGAUACAUCCAAGAUUUCCAUUAGUUGGUGUUGACAUCUAACCAUUUGCUUUGUCUACGAUUAAUGGAAUUGAAAAGUAUUAUAUACAUGCAUGAGCUCAAUUCCACACUUAUUUUAUUUUAUCAAAAUGCUCUUAAUUUUUUUAUUAAAAUUUACACCUGUAAUUACAUAUGAAAUAAUUAAAAAUAUUCCUUUUUCACUCUAUGCACUUUUAAAUAUAACUUGUUUAAAAUUAAUCAUUACAAUUCAUUUUAAGAAGUAAGGACCAAAUAUACCCACGUCAACAACCUAGUUGAUAUAGGAAGUCCACUUUAACCAACAUUACUCAUUGUUUAGAUUGAAUUCUUUUAACUAUUUUGCCCUGUGAGAAAUAAACUCUUUUAACUUUAUUAGUUCUUUCAUAAUUUUUAUCCUUACAAUAUGAACUAUCUGAUUUCUCUUAAUAUUUUAUAAAUCAUUUAUGUUAUAUUUCAAAACAAAAUUAGUUGUCAUUUCUUCUACUUCUUUCCCAGACAAAUGCAUAAUUUGUGGUUGAUGUUUAUUAGUUUUAUUAAAGGUGUUUACAAUUUGUAAGUGAGACCCAUCAUCUAUGAAAAAUAUAGACAUGCUUUUUUUCAGUUGAAAGUCUUAAGGAACUAGUAUUUGGACCACAACAAGAACUAAGGGCUACCAAAUUUUCACUUUGUUUUACAUCCAAAUAAAACACACAAUCCUUUAUGUAUUGUCUAUUCUAAGCCAAGGGGCUCUCAAGGCUUUAAAAUGCAUCUCUAAGAUUAAGAGGAGCCUAACAUAUAUAUCAUCAUGAGCUUUUUUUCUCUAUCCGACGUGAGAUGUCAUAAAAAUUGUUCAACAAGACUAAUGCAUUUGUGAAGCUCAAAAGAAUCACAAAAAUCAAAGGAAGAUUUUUUGGGCAUUACAACAUAAAAGAUGCAGGACCCUUGUACACAUGCAUUUUCCUUAUCAAACAAUUGUCUUGACAAGCCAUUCUAAAGCCCACUUGGCUUGCCAUCACUAGUGAUGGACCUACAUCAUUCAAAUUCUCGAUGCUCUUGAAAAGGCCAUAUGCACUUGAAGUAAAAAGAGCUUUGAAUUUUUGUUAGAUACUUCGUUUUUUCUAUUUGGAAACAUAUUUUUCUUUUCUUUUUUUGUUCUUUUUUUUUAAUAGAACGUUUACCCUCCUAGAGUGUAAAAUCCUCUAUUUUCUGUUCAAAUUUCAGCUUUGCAAUUAGAGUCCUAAAUUCUAAACCUUGUCUGGGUUUUCCAGUUUUGUGAAAAAUCACAUCAUAGGGACCCAACAAGAUGGGAUUUGAUUCAAUGUUAGAGACAAAUUUUGGAAAAAUCUACAAAACCCUCAACAGUUGUGGCCAUACCAUAGCUCAAGACCAAGAUGGGAAUUUACAAUCUAAUAAAGCUGAUGAAUGCUUCAUAGACGUGAAGGUCCUCACAUUCUUGAUCGGGAAGAACCUAGGCCGAAAGUAAUCAGCAAAGGAUAAGAACGCCAGGAUCAUUUCACACUGAAACACUUUACUCCAACUACUCUGGUUAAACGGAUUCAUCCUAGAGAAAACUAUGAAGAUAGCAGCCUUGUUAUAGACUUAAAUGUGAUACAUCCAACAUUCCCAUUAGUUGGUGUUGACAUCCAACUACCUCCUUGUCUACAACUAAUGGAAUUGAAAAGGAUUAUAUGGCUCAAUCCCAUGCUUAUUUUAUUUUAUUUUAUCAAAGUGCUCUUAAUUUUUAUUAAAAACACUUGGAGUGCUUCUUCUUGGAUAAACACUUGAUGAGUAUUUCUUUUAAAGGAUAAGAGAAAUAUGAAAAAUACUAAUAUUUCAUAAAAAUAUUCAUUUUACAAAAAUACAUUCUUCUAGUAUUUUUAUUAAAAAUAAUUUUAGAAAUACUCUUACCAAAUGGUGGAAAAUUCUUAACAUGAGUGCAAAUUAAUUUUUAUUUUGAAAAAGUUUUACUAAAUGGAAAAAAAUUCUUCCUCGAAUUUUAUGUGGAUAUGAAUUACUUGGAUAAAAUUGGAGCUUUGUCCAUAUCAUGUUAGUGACUUAUUUUGUUGAGAUAUAUAGUUAUAAGACAAAUCUCACCCAAAUAUCUUUUUUUCGUAGAAGACAAAGCUCAUUGCCUUGAAUGAUAGGAUCUAGAGAUGCACAAAAGUGUGCUUUUUUAUUUAAAAAAAUGUGUUCUAUGACUAGCAUGUAUUUCAAAUUUAAGUUCAACCAAAAAGACCGCUCAAUCUCCUAAGAGCUCUUUAGAGAUGAAAACCAAUUUUAAUUAUAUCAAAUAAAAAUAUAUAAUUAUUAUUUCUUAAGAUGGUAUUGUUAAAUUGCCAAUUUUUAAAAAUUUUAUUAUGGUAAAAAAUGUUAACAUUUUGGGAAAAAAAUUAUUACUAUUUUUUUUUCAAACUAGCAGUCUUGAAAUAUUUUGUCUUAAUUAUAUAAAAAAUGAUAAUUAUUUUUGUAUAGACAAUGAUAUUUAAUUAGUAAUUUUUAGAUAUUCUUAGCAUGUAAAAAGAAGUAGACUUGACAUUUAAUAAUAUUUUGAUACCACUUUAAUCAAAUAUAUUAUUCAAAGUUAUACAUCUAGCUCUAUUAAAUUUAAGUUAAAUGAAGGUAUAGUCGAAAUUCAUAUUGACAAACAAAUGUUACCUAAGUGUAAUUCCUAUGACAUUGUAGUGAAGCAUAAUUUUUUUUUUCUUUUUAAGUAGAAUUAUAUGAAAACUUAAUUUAUUUUAAGCAUGCAUUAAAAUAAUGAUUUGUCUUUUAUUAAUUAAAAAACUAAAAAAAAAAUUGUACUAUUUAUUAUUAUUAAAAAAGAUUUCUUACUUUCAAUUAAAAUUACAUAUUUACAUAAGAAUAUAAAGUUCCCUUUCCAAUUGCAUGUUUUUAGUCUAGACAUUUAUUGUCUUUGAUAGGGUGGAAAAGUCAUUGCAUUCUUGAUUUUUAUUAACAAUUGUGUGGAAAAGUUGUUGUUUUCCUAAUUCUUGUCAAUAAUUGUGUUCAAAAGUCAUUGCAUUCCUAAUUCUUAUCAACAAUAGUUUUUAAGGAAUCUAUACCUAAUAUUCACAUUAUCAAUAGUAUAUGAAAAUGAUCCUAAUUGAUGUGAGUGGUCUAAUUAGAGUGAAGUAUAUAAGAAUAUCAUUUAUUAAAUCUUAGUAUUAAAAUAAAAAGUAGCAAUUGAAUCCAUUAUAUCAAGACUUGAGGAAUGUGAGGAAUCUAAAUUAAUUUUCUUUCCCUAUAAGGUAGAAUUUGCAUUGAAACUCCAUCUACUUUAAUUUAAGGGAUAGCACAAACAAAGUCGUAGGUGUGACAUGCUUUUAUGUAAAAACAAUUUAAGAGUGGUUUGUGCUUUUUAUAAUAGGUAUCAUGAAAAAGAACAUGCUCAAAAUGUAAAUUUUUUAUUUUUUUAAAUAAUAUUACAUUAUUUUAAUUCAAUUUUCAAGUUAAUUAAAAGCAAAACUUAGAUCAUGGAUUGGACAUAAUGACAAUAAAUUUCUCCUAUUAAUAGAUUUAACAAUAAAAAAGAUGAGUCUUUUUUUUUUCAAGUUAAUUACUAAUUUCUAAAAUUUUUAUUAUGGUAACAAAUGUUAAUAUUUUGAAAUAUUUGAAAAUAUGUUAAUUAUCAUUUUUUGCCAAAUUAUUAAUCUUCAAAUAUUUUUAUUUUAAUUAUAUAAAAUAAAAACAAAUAUAAUAAUUAUUUUAUUACAAACAAAGAAAUUUAAUUAUUAAUUUUUAGUCUUAGCUUAUAAAAGGAAGUAGAUUUAACACUUACAAGAACACCACUUUUAAACAAAUAUGUUAUUCCAAGUUAUACAUAUAGUUCUAUUACAUUUAAGUUGAUGCCAGUGGUAUGAUCAUAGUGAUGUAUAUAUUAGUAUUAAAACAAAAAGUCACAAUUGAGUCUUUUGUAUUUAGACUAAGGAAUAAUUAUAACAAUGGUGAAACCUAGAUUAAUUUUUUCCAUCUUUAUAAGGUAAAAUUUGUAUUGAAACUUCAUCUAUUUCAAGGCAUAGCACAAAUGAAGUUGCAAGGAUGACAUGCCUUCAUGUAGAAAUAAAAUAGAAUUUCAUUGUCUAAAUAGGAUAUUUUAUUAUUAUUGUAAACAAAUUUUUUUACUUCUUCCUUUGUUAGCAUCAAGAACUCAGAAAAUAUUUGCUUCACAAUGUUGAGCAUUGAUGCAUCUAUUUAAUAGUGAUUUGUGCCUUUUAGAUUACAUAUUUUGAAAAAAGAUAUGUUCGAAAUGUAAAUUUUACUAUUAUUUUUUUUUUCAAAUGAUACUCUAUUAUUUCAAUUUAAUUAAAAGGGAGACUUAGGCCAUGGGUCAAACACAAUGACAAUAAAUUUGUCCAGAUGGAUUUAACAAUCGCAAAUAUGGUUUUCUUUUUUUUGAAUACAUAUAAAAGAGAAUUUAUGAUCUAGUUUUUUUAUAGACUUAAAAGAACAAAAAAAAUCAAUUAUUGAAUAUACCUACCAAUUCAAUUACCUUAGAAAAAUUAAAACUUGUGCAUAUUUGUUGCUCAGUUUACAAUUCUUAACAAAUUAAUAGAAAAGAAUUAAACAUUCAAGGCAAAAAAAAAUAGGUCCAUUCAAUUUUCCUUUGAAAUGAUAGUGGGUUGUUUUAAUGGGAUUUGAAGUUUGGGUCAAACUUGAUAUAAUAUUGUUUUACCCUUGAAAUUGAUAACGAUAAUGGGUCAUGUAUAAUGGGAUUUGAAAUCCAAAUCUUAGUGGGAUAUGAACUCUAAGUCAAAUAAUGAUAAUUGGUUUGUUUAGUGGGAUUUAAAAUUUGAGUCUUAAUGGUCUUCGAAGUCAUCAAAUAAUGAUAAUUGGCAUGUUUAGUGGAACUUGAACUUUGAGUUUGAAUGGGGUUUGAAGUUUGAGUCAAACUUGAUAUAAUAUUUUACCCAUAAUUGGCCAUCUUUAAUAGCAUUAGAAGUCAUAGUCAAACUUGAUGUAAUGUUUUACCCUUGGAAAUAAUAAUGAUGAUUGGUGGGAUAUGAAGUCCAAAUCUUAGUGGGAUAUGAACUCUAAGUCAAAUAAUGAUAAUUGGUUUGUUUAGUAGGAUUUGAAAUUUAAAUCUUAAUAGGAUUCAAAGUCGUCAAAUAAUGAUAAUUGGCCUGUUUAGUGGGACUUGAACUUUGAGUCUGAAUGGGGUUUGAAUUUUGAGUCAAACUUGAUAUGAUAUUUUACCCACAAUUGGCCAUCUUUAAUAGGAUUGGAAGUUAUAGUCAAACUUGAUAUAAUAUUUUAUCCUUUGAAAUAAUAAUGAUAAUUGGUGGGAUAUGAAGUCCAUCUCUUAGUGAGAUAUGAACUCUAAGUCAAAUAAUGAUAAUUGGUUUGUUUAGUGGGAUUAGAAAUUUAAGUCUUAGUAAGAUUCAAAGUCGUCAAAUAAUGAUAAUUGGCAUGUUUAGUGGGACUUGAACUUUGAGCUUGAAUGGGAUUUGAAGUUUCAGUCAAACUUGAUAUAAUAUUUUACCCACAAUUGGCCAUCUUUAAUAGGAUUGGAAGUCAUAGUCAAACUUGAUAUAAUAUUUUACCCUUUGAAAUAAUAAUGAUAAUUGGUGGAAUAUAAAGUCCAAAUCUUAGUGGGAUAUGAAAUCUAAGUCAAAUAAUGAUAAUUGGUUUGUUUAGUGGAAUUUGAAAUUUAAGUCUUAAUAGGAUUCAAAGUCGUCAAAUAAUGAUAAUUGACAUGUUUAGUGGGACUUGAACUUUGAGUCUGAAUGGGAUUUGACAUUUGAGUCAAACUUGAUAAUUUUACCCUUAAAAAUAAUAACAAUAAUUGAUCAUAUUUUAUGGGAUUUGAGAUCUUAGUCAAACUUAAUAUAAUAUUUUAACCAACAAUGAAAAAUAAAUAAGCAUAUGAUACGAGCUAAGAACUCAUUUCAAAAGUAGGGUCAAAAAUGGUUUUAAAUGCUUAAAAAGUGUGUUUUGCUAUAUAAAAAAAAAUCGUUUUAACGUUAGAAAAUAUAGAUACUUCUUCUAAAAGCCAUUACAAGAAAGACAUGAAAAAUAUUAAAAUUUCAAAUAAAUUUUCAUGUUUGAAAAACAUAUUUUUCUUGCAUUUUUAUUAAAAAUAUGUUCAAACAUACUCUUACAUGAUCUACUUGAGUUCCUAAAAUAAUUACAAACUCUAUUUAAUUUUUAUUUUAAAAUUUUUUUACCUAAGGGUGGAAAAUUCCUCCUCAAAUUAUACAUGGAUAUGAAUUAUUUGGAUGAAAAUUGGAGCUAAUAUCAUAAGAAUGACCUAUUUUAGUGGAAUAUAUAGUUAUUAUAAGAUAAAUCUCACUCAACUAUCUGUUUACUUAUAAGACAAAGUUCACUGCCUUGUAUAAUGGGGUGCAAAAAUACAUAUGAGUGGACACUUUUGACUUAAAGUAUAAUGAGAUGUAAAAAUACAUAUGAGUGAACACUUUUUACUUAAGAUCGUGUUUCACAAUAACAUGUCUUAAAUUUAAGUUCAAAGAAAAGUACCACUUAAACCUCCAAAGAACCCUUGAACAUAACAAUUGAAAAUAAAGAUAAACUCCCUCAUAUGAUAAUAAAAAAUAUUUUUCAAUUGUUAUAAAUUGUGAUCAUGUUACUUAUUAAGUUAAAUAAGAAGUAAAAAGGAUUUUAUAAAAAUGGUAUUUUAAAUGUGAAGUAAAUUUUAAAUGUGCUAAAAAUUUUAGGUCCUCUUUGGACGUGUUUUCUAAUGCUGGUUGAAAAGUUGUUUUUAUGUUAAAGAACAAAAGAUAGUUAUUUAGUAUUUUAUAAAAAUAAGGAUGUUUGAUAAGUUGUUUUUUCAAAAAAUAAAAAUAAGAACUUUUUUGGAUAAGUUGUUUAUAAAAAUAAUUUUCCUAUUUUGAUUUUGUAAAAACAUUAUAAAUUUAAUUUAUGUAAUAUUAAUUAAAUUUAAUUAAAGUCUUAUUGAAAAUAAAAAAAUAGUUUUUAAUUACAAAUAAAUUAAAAAAAUAAAUAGUUUUUAGUAAAAUAUGAACAAUAAUAUUAUAAUAAAAUCAUAAAUAAAAAAAAUUAUAAAAAAAUAUUAUUUUAGUAUAUUUUUUAUGCUAAAGCUCCUAAUGGGCUUCGAAGUCAUCAAAUAAUGAUAAUUGACAUGUUUAGUGGGACUUGAACUUUGAGUUUGAAUAGGGUUUAAAGUUUGAGUCAAACUUGAUGUAAUAUUUUAUCCACAAUUGGCCAUCUUUAAUAGGAUUGGAAGUUAUAGUCAAACUUGAUAUAAUAUUUUACCCUUGGAAAUAAUAAUGAUAAUUGGUGGGAUAUGAAGUCCAAAUCUUAGUGAGAUGUGAACUCUAACUCAAAUAAUGAUAAUUGGUUUGUUUAGUGGGAUUAGAAAUUUAAGUCUUAAUAGGAUUCAAAGUCGUCAAAUAAUGAUAAUUGACAUGUUUAGUGGGACUUGAACUUUGAGUCUGAAUGGGAUUUGAAGUUUGCGUCAAACUUGAUAUCAUAUUUUACCCACAAUUGACCAUCUUUAAUAGGAUUGGAAGUCAUAGUCAAACUUGAUAUAAUAUUUUACCCUUUGAAAUAAUAAUGAUAAUUGGUGGAAUAUGAAGUCCAAAUCUCAGUGGGAUAUGAAAUGUAAGUCAAAUAAUGAUAAUUGGUUUGUUUAGUGGGAUUUGAAAUUUAAGUCUUAACAGGAUUCAAAGUCGUCAACUAAUGAUAAUUGGCAUGUUUAGUGGGACUUGAACUUUGAGUCUGAAUGGGAUUUAACGUUUGAGUCAAACUUGAUAAUUUUACCCUUGAAAAUAAUAACGAUAAUUGGUCAUAUUUAAUGGGAUUUGAGAUCUUAGUCAAACUUAAUAUAAUAUUUUAACCAAUAAUGAAAAAUAAAUAAAUAUAUGAUAUCAACUAAGAACUCAUUUCGAAAGUAGGGUCAAAAAUUGUUUAAAAUGCUUAAAAAGUGUGUUUUGCUAUAAAAAAUAAAUCAUUUGAAAAAAAAAAUCGUUUUAAAGUUAGAAAACAUGAAUAAACACUUAGAUAUUUCUUCUAAAAGCCAUUACAAGAAAGACAUGAAAAAUAUUAAAAUUUCAAAUAAAUUUUCAUGUUUGAAAAACAUAUUUUUCUUGCAUUUUUAUUAAAAACAUGUUCAAACAUAUUCUUAUAUGAUCUACUUGAGUUCCUAAAAUAAUUACAAACUCUAUUUAAUUUUUAUUUUAAAAUUUUUUUACCUAAGGGUGGAAAAUUCCUCCUCAAAUUAUACAUUGAUAUGAAUUAUUUGGAUGAAAAUUGGAGCUAACAUCCAUAUCAUAAGAAUAACCUAUUUUAGUGGAAUAUAUAGUUAUUAUAAGAUAAAUCUCACCCAACUAUCUCUUUACUUAUAAGACAAAGUUCAUUGCCUUGUAUAAUGGGAUGCAAAAAUACAUGAGUGGACACUUUUGACUUAAAGUAUAAUGGGAUGUAAAAAUACAUAUGAGUGGACACUUUUUACUUAAGAACGUGUUUCACAAUGACAUGUGUCUUAAAUUUAAGUUCAAAGAAAAGUACCACUUAAACCUCCAAAGAACCCUUGAACAUAAUAAUUGAAAAUAAAGAUGAACUCCCUCAUAUGAUAAUAAAAAAUAUUUUUCAAUUGUUAUAAAUUGUGAUCAUGUUACUUAUUAAGUUAAAUAAGAAGUAAAAAGGAUUUUAUAAAAAUGGUAUUUUAAAUGUGAAGUAAAUUUUAAAUGUGCUAAAAGUUUUAGGUCCUCUUUGGAUGUGUUUUCUAAUGCUGGUUGAAAAGUUGUUUUUAUGUUAAAGAAUAAAAGAUAGUUAUUUAGUAUUUUAUAAAAAUAAGGAUGUUUGACAAGUUUUUUUUAAAAAAAGUAAAAAAUAAAAAACUUUUUUGGAUAGGUUGUUUAUAAAAAUAAUUUUUCUAUUUUGAUUUUGUAAAAACAUUAUAAAAUUAAUUUAUGUAAUAUUAAUUAAAUUUAAUUAAAGUUUUAUUGAAAAUAAAAAUAGUUUUUAAUUACAAAUAAAUUAAAAAAUAAAUAGUUUUUAGUAAAAUAUGAACAAUAAUAUUAUAAUAAAAUCAUUAAAAAAUAUUAUUUUAGUAUAUUUUUCAUGCUAAAGCUCCUAUGAAAUUUUAGGUAGAUACAUGUCUUCUAGUGGAUAAUUAUAGUCUUUUUCAACUCGGAGAUCCUUCACGACAUGAGCCACCAACCAUUCCUCAUACAAAAUCUUGCCAAAUUAACCUUGAGAAUAUUCCUCAACAUCCUAUUCCUCUUCAUCUCAACCAUCCUCUCCCUUUGUCUCCUCCACCUCUCUUGAACACCACUCCCCUCCGCCCCAAUCUCCCACCCUCUCAUCUCAUGGUCCAGGUGCUAAAGUCAUUGAAUACAUCUUGUAUUGUAUUCAAUCCCAUGUUUUUCUGGCCUCAUAAAUUCUAAACCCUAUCUAGGUUUUCCAAUUUUGUGAAAAAUUAUAUGGAUUAAAUUCAAUGUUAGAGACAAAAUUUUGAACAAAUCUGCAAAAACGCUCAACAGUUGUGGUCAUAGCUCAUGACCAAGAUGGGAGUCUACAAUGUAAUAAUGCUGAUGAAUGAUUCAAAGACUGCUCCAACUAGAUUUUGAAAAUUGUCUAUUUUCCAACAUUUUUGUAUUGAGCUAUUCUCGUAUAAACGGAUUGAAAACAGUUUUUUGAAAAUUUGUUUAAAAAUAAGAGGACUUUUCAUAAAAAAAUUCAGGGUGUUUUAUUAGAGCAAUAGGAGACAUGGAGAAUAUGCCGAUAACUUUUGCAGUGUACAUCAAUGCAUAAUACUUUCAUAGAGAAGAGACUUUUAUUUAAAAAAAAAAAAAAAAAAUUGACUCCUAAUAGAAUUUUAUUACUCCAAACAUUCAGGAGCUAUUCUUAAAAAUCGAUUUGUAAAAAUUAUCGAGCAGACCCACAAUCUGUUCGAGUAACAAAUGGAAAACUUACCAUUUGAUCUUAUUCCAACUACAAUUUAAAAAAAGAAAACAAACAAACAUAUAAAUCCUUAGACAGGACCGAGCAACAAGCAUUGUGGUUUUGUUGUCUGUGGGUGGUCAAAUUUAUCAGUAACCCAAGACUUCCAUGCUCACAAAAGCUCCAUUUUAAUCAAAGGUUGGUGAGAAAAUUACUAACAGGCUCAAGUCUCAUCUUAAAUAGAAGGAAAACAAAAACAUUAUUUACAUGCUUCACCAAUGAAACAUUCAAGUUAUGCAUUGAUAACCAUAAUUUCUGGGGAUAUAACGCUGUUCAACAAGAUUAAUGCAUUUGUGAAGCUCAGACGAAUCGCAAAGAUCAUAGAUGAAAAUCUCUCUAGCAUUACCAAAUAAAAGGUACAACGAAGAAAAAGUUGAUGUAUGUGAUCUUGCUUGGGACUGAGGUGGAUCAAUGUUCAAUAUUUUCCUAAAAUAAGCAGACUAAUUAGUGUAAGAAAUAUUGAUUCAUAUAGAACUUUAACCACAAAAUUCAGAAUUAACUAGGAAGAAGAUGAAAAUACAGAGAAAACUUGAGGGAAGGAGCUAAGACACAGAUGGAGGGAUUGGCUUCACAGCAUUUUGGAUCCGCUGGAAUGCCACUCUCACUCUUUCCUUGAGGCCUUCAUUUUCGCUCUCAACAUUCCCACUCUGUUUAUCAAGAUGCACCACAUUUCCAUCAACGCUUAUCACCAGGUUCCCAUUCCCUUCCAACUUCACAUCUCCAAACAGAGAAACAAGGAGUGCGUGGAUAACCUUUUCUGCUUUCUUCCCAUUUUCUUCUUCAGUUUUCAUGGCCUCUGAUUCAACUACUACCUUGGGGAUCUCAAGACUGAUAUUUAAAACUAGAGCCACAAUGGAGUCAGAGACCAUGUCACUAAUUGGAUCUGAUGUCCAACGCAAUGAAAUAUGCUUCUCCGACUCAUGCUUCACUGUCACCCGUUCAUGGACUUGAAAAGCUGGAACCUCAGAUUCUUCAUCUGGCAAUGACUCAACACUCUCAUAUAUCUGCUUCAGCCUGUGCUUUAUUACACCAAAGGCACCAGUGUAAGGAAUAGUAAUCCUCUGGGUGACAUUUGCCGUGGAUAGCUGUGAGAAGACAUGGAGAUCAUCAGGUGCCAUUAUCUGAUAAGUGAACCCUUUCUUUACCAGUAAACCACUGACAAUUUCACCAACUUCUGGGGUCUUUUCAGCCAGCCUCUCAAUGGUUUUUGCCAUUUUUUCAGAGUUGAAAUACAUUUCAACUGACUGACAGUUCUUUGGGGAAAUAAUUUUGGUGUUGCAGUCAGCAAACUGGGUGAUAAGCUUCUGUUUGAGCCUCCCCAUCUCAUUAGCUUCUCCAUGAACAAGAAUGAUGUUAGGUGGCAUGAGCUCCUUCAAGAAUGUACUUGUCUGUGCAAAAUCUGCAUGGGCAGAGAAAGAAAUGUAAUGGACCUGCAUGUUGAGGGGAGCAGUAAGACCAUUCAUUAAAGUAACUUCCUUGGGUUCAUUAAUGAUGGUUUUUGCCAAUGUCCCUCCCACGACAUACCCAGGUAUAACACAUGCAUUUUUCUUAUCAGAGCACCACAUAUCAAACAGUUGUCUUGACAACCCACUCUGAAGCCCACCCGGGCUCGCCAUCACCACUGAUGGACCUACAUCAUUAAAAUUCUCAAUGCUCUUUAAGGGUGAUAUGUGCUUGAAGUCAAAGGGAUUCGAAUUUGCAAAUUGGUUGCGGAUCCUCUCAUUCAUGGAAUUGAUAUAUGUCUGGUAAACAGCCAUGCACCUUUUUGCAAGGGGGGAAGCAUAAAAUAUGGGAUGUUAUGGAGCUCAGGAUGGUUAGACCAAUACUCAUCAAGGAUAAGAAGGAGUUCUUGGGCACGACCUAGAGCAUAUGCAGGGAUUAGAACACGGCCCCCUUGAGAAAUGGUUGAGUGGAUGACAUCUGUGAAGCGUUUUUCUCGCACAUGCCGAGGCUGAUGGAGUUGGACACCAUAAGUGGAUUCAAUUAUGCAAAUAUCAGGGCAGAACUGUGGAAUCUCAGCAGCACGGAGAUGACGAUCUUCUUCGCUAGAAUAGUCUCCAGUGUAAAGUACUCGGACACCAGCAAUAUCAACCAUAAACAUGGCAGCACCAAGGACGUGGCCAGCUGUGUAACACCAAAAUCGUAUACCAUUUACUUCUAAAGUCUGAUGGAAAUCAAUAACCUGCAGAAGGGAGAUUUAAUUACAGUUACAGGAAGAUUAAAUGAGAUAAGAAAAUUAAGCUACAUAUCUAAAGUCAAUUGUUGUAAAUGGCCCAACAUUCUGCAAUAGAUCAGGAUUAUAUGCAACCAAUAUUUUGGCAUAUGAGAUACACACACACACACACACACCAUAUUGCUUUUUUUAGUGAACAAGUUUUAUAUUUUAUUAGAUUAGUUAUGUAACAAUUUUGAAACUAAAUUCAGAAACAAUAGAAAAAAUGUUGUUGUGGAACACAAAACAUGAAUUAAUAUUAGAAGUAUAGCCAUUUAAAUCUUAAUAGACUAAUUCCUACUAUGUUAGUUUUAUUUGUCCAGAACUGAAGACAAAACUCAUCUGCUCUCAUGGAAGGUGAAGUACAGAAAGCCCACAGAUGUUAUAGAGAUCUAAAACAGUAGUACUUACACUCAGGUAGAAUCUAUGAUUCAGGUAUGAAUGUCUAUGGUAGAAAGAUUAAGGCUUUAGGACAAGGUAGUAGACAUUUGUGGCACUAUUAAUUUCAAAUAAGAGUCCCAAGAUAGAACAUUAGAGCUAUUCGCAAAUUUAAAUAACCAGAUUUAAGCUAAUCUGUGAUACAUGGACCAUUGUGACCAUAACUUUUGUGUUUUUUUUUUUUUUUUUGAUAGUUAUUGUAACCAUAACCUUUUUUUUUUCCUGAUAGACAUUGUGACCAUAACUUUUCAGGCCUUUAAAAAAGGAAGUGCAAGAGAAGGAUUUCUCAUCCUUCCCUACUUUACAAAACCUGAUUUAAAAAUGGAAGUGCAACUGUGCAAGAGAAGGAUGAGAAAUCCUUCCUUACUUUACAAAACCUGAUCAAAACAGAGGAAAAGAAAUACUCUCCAAUAAACAUCAAAACAACUCGACAUUGCAAUUUUAACACUUCGGAUCUACAAGUCGACAUCCAAUCAAGUUGAGUUAUGUUGAGAAAUUCAUGCCUUAAAACAGAUAGUUACAUUAAAGGCACAACCAUAAUCAUAAAUCCAUUUACUGAGAAGAAAACAAUGCUGAGAAAAGCAAUGGGAACUUCAACAUAAUCAAAGAAAGUGAAUGAUUGGGGUUUUUCUGAAGGAAUUUUAGCUGAUAGAUUCAAUUAUUUGUAACCUCUCGCACUCUUACAUAUGAAAGUACAUGUUCAAGUUUGUGUAUGGACACUUUAUGCAGAGAAUGGGUAGGUCCAUUAACCCUUUCAUCCCUCCAGAACCCCAGAAAAGGAACCUGUAAUGGCCAACGGCCUUUGUAUAGAGUGAUCCCUCUAAUACAGCUACAGAGAAUACUCUCAAAACCAUGCUUAUAGUAGUAGAUCACUAACUAUUGAUGUGCUUUCAACCAUUUCAAGAGCACUCAUCAGCCAUGCAGUCAGAAUUUCAACUGGAGUAAAGUUGGGCUCAAGAAAGUCUACUCAAAGCCGAAAAAAUCUCAAGGCCAGACAAGAGCCCAGGGACAGAUUUCAAUUUUAGGAAGCUAUUUCAUACGAGGAAAGGAAUCUCCAAGAGUUUAUUCCUUGAGAAAAAAGAAAUAUUAGCAAACGGAAUGAAGAAGCCAUUGAGAAGCAGGAGAUAUUCAGAUAAUGACUUAAAAUUUGGGUGGUAGAUGUAGUCUCAUUACUUUAAAAAUAUAUCUGCAGUGCUCCUAAUAGCACCAGAUAUUGAUAAGAGAAGGUGCGGAUGGAGUACUUGCAGCUGGUCCCAGUCAAAUCUUUAUAUGCUUUAACAAUAGUUGUUUGGUCACUUUUUCUAAGUAAGGCCAUUCAGGACAGAAUUCAUUCAAUGAUUUUUUUUUUUUUUUUUUUGGAAGAAAUAUGUCCAUACCCAGGUAUAUAGUACAAUAUAAAAGAACAAUCAUGAUAUUCUCUAAAUUUCAUUUCUCAAUUCAGCAGAUCAUUAAGUUAUAAAAACAAAUAACAUUACAAUAUUCAACAAGGAAAAAGAAUAUACUGUGUCACCAAAAGGACAUCAAUGGUUGAAGGAUCAAUCUCAUCAAAGUAUGGCAAAGCAGCCAUGACUGAGUAUGCGGGAUGAAUUCCACAGUCAAACUAUCAUCACAGAACAGGAACAUAAUAGAAACAAACAAAUUAAAAAAAAUAUCGAAAACAAAGUAUAAAAACUAGCAACCAAAAUAAACGAAUAAUGCAUUAUGGUAUACCAAUAUGGUUUUCCCUUUAUAGGACAUGUAGACACAGGAACGGCCCACUUCAUUUCCAGCACCUAGAGGGGUAAUAAUCAGCUGGUCUCCUCUUGUUAAUGAGGAAUCUGGUCUCUUCAAAGACUGCGAUGGCCCUGUAGAUGCCAUUCUUCAACUGAACAAUUCUCAGACCCCUUCAAUUAACACCACUCUAUUUUCAUGCAAAAUGCUCUGCAACCGAUUAAAAAAUACAAAAAAAAGAUUCAAAAAAAAAUAAAAAAACGCUUCAUCAUAAAUAAAAUGAUACCCAAAAAUAAAUACAAUUCCAACAAAAGACAUUUUUUCUCUGGGAACUCCAGUUAUUUUGGUGAAUAUAUUUCUGUUAAGCUUGGGAAAAAUAAAUUUUGACUUUCAGUAAAAUAACUCUGUACAGUUGAAAUUUAUAUUUCCCUGAGAACAUCUUCAAUAGAAAUAACCUAUCUCCCCAAUUGAAGCUCAAAAUUCAAAAUCCAGUACGAGAAAGCACUGUUUGUUUGCUGAGAAAUUGCAGAACCAAAAAUUUAAAUCUUACAGCUCUCAGCACUCAUCCCCCUAGAAAGCAACAUAAAAGCGCAAGAUUCAAUUGCUUCAUUUCCCUCUCUUCUCCUCACUUUUCUCAGCAACCAAACACAACAACCUUAUAUAAAUAAGGAGAGAGAGUGAAGUAGAAGAAAGAAGAAACUCGAAACUUAUAAAAAAAAAGCAUAGUAUGAAGGCAAUUAUAAGAGAUUCAAAAUUUUCAACUCACUUGGUUGCAUUCCCCAGGACUUUCUCGGGAACCAAACAGACGGGAGGAAGAAAAAACAUAAACUUCAGAACAAAGAAAGAAGAAAUGCAUAGAAAAUAGCAGAGGGAGAAAGUUUCGAGAGAGCUAGAGAGGUUACAGUUAUGAAAUGAUUUCAGACCAUGCAGAGGAAGAGAUUGAACUAAAACCCCAAUUUUGAGAAGAUG